AGCGAAGCGUAUUAGCGGAAGUUUUCGGAUGGAAGCGGAUAUGACUUAGCGGCGGACGGGUGAGUAACGCGUGGAUAACCUGCCUCAUACAGGGGGAUAACAGUUAGAAAUGACUGCUAAUACCGCAUAAGCGCACAGGACCGCAUGGUCCGGUGUGAAAAACUCCGGUGGUAUGGGAUGGAUCCGCGUCUGAUUAGCUGGUUGGUGAGGUAACGGCCCACCAAGGCGACGAUCAGUAGCCGACCUGAGAGGGUGGCCGGCCACAUUGGGACUGAGACACGGCCCAAACUCCUACGGGAGGCAGCAGUGGGGAAUAUUGCACAAUGGGGGAAACCCUGAUGCAGCAACGCCGCGUGAGUGAAGAAGUAUUUCGGUAUGUAAAGCUCUAUCAGCAGGGAAGAAGAAAGACGGUACCUGACUAAGGAGCCCCGGCUAACUACGUGCCAGCAGCCGCGGUAAUACGUAGGGGGCAAGCGUUAUCCGGAUUUACUGGGUGUAAAGGGAGCGUAGACGGCUGUGCAAGUCUGAAGUGAAAGCCCGUGGCUCAACCGCGGAACUGCUUUGGAAACUGUAUAGCUUGAGUACUGGAGAGGCAGGCGGAAUUCCUAGUGUAGCGGUGAAAUGCGUAGAUAUUAAAAGAAACUCCUGUGGCGNNGGCGGCCUGCGUGGACAGAAACUGACGUGGGGGCUGGAAGGGGGGGGGAGCCAAACCGGAUUAGAUACCUGGGUAGUUCCCACGCGGUAAAACGAUGAAAUUGCUAGGUGUUGGGGAGCAAAGCUCUUCGGUGCCGUCGCAAACGCAGUAAGCAUUCCACCUGGGGAGUACGUUCGCAAGAAUGAAACUCAAAGGAAUUGACGGGGACCCGCACAAGCGGUGGAGCAUGUGGUUUAAUUCGAAGCAACGCGAAGAACCUUACCAAGUCUUGACAUCCUCCUGAAUGAUGGGUAAAGCCGUCAGGCCUUCGGGACAGGAGAGACAGGUGGUGCAUGGUUGUCGUCAGCUCGUGUCGUGAGAUGUUGGGUUAAGUCCCGCAACGAGCGCAACCCUUAUCCUCAGUAGCCAGCGGCCAGGCCGGGCACUCUGUGGAGACUGCCAGGGAGAACCUGGAGGAAGGUGGGGAUGACGUCAAAUCAUCAUGCCCCUUAUGAUUUGGGCUACACACGUGCUACAAUGGCGUAAACAAAGGGAAGCGAAGUGGCGACACGGAGCGAACCCCAAAAAUAACGUCUCAGUUCGGAUUGUAGUCUGCAACUCGACUACAUGAAGCUGGAAUCGCUAGUAAUCGC
rnacentral:rRNA from 1 species